UUCCUAACAUUCCUUCAUCCCGACGCUCCUCCUCUCGGUGCCAAGUCCCGCGAUCAACUUUCCUGAGACAAGAACCUCUUUUGUGGCAGUGGGAAAAACAACAUGGCAGAAGUUGCCGUCCAUUCCGAGGGAAGAAGCGACGGGAUUGUGAUAAGAGAUGACUGGCCAGGGUACAGUUUAGACCUCUUCAGCUAUCCCGCACACUACUCCGGAGAUUUAGACUGUGUCAUGAUCCCGCAUGGCGUGAUUAUGGACAGAACAGAACGCCUUGCUAGAAACAUCAUGGAUGACUUGGGAGACCACGCCAUUGUUGUCCUGUGUGUGCUGAAAGGAGGCUACCAGUUCUGUGCUGACCUGGUGGACAGGAUCAAGGAUCUUAGCCAUAACUCCAACCGCACAAUCCCCAUGACAGUGCACUUCAUCCGUCUCAAGAGUUACCUGAAUGAUGAGUCGACAGAGGAUCUUCAUAUCCUUGGAGCAGAGGACUUGUGUUUUUUAGGUGGAAAGAAUGUUCUGAUUGUGGAGGGCAUUGUAGGCACCGGCAAGACAAUGAAGACUCUCCUGAAGCACGUUGAAACCUUCAGGCCCAAAAUGAUCAGAGUAGCAGGAUUGCUGGUGAAGAGAGUGCCACACAGCGCAGCAAGUGUUCCCCACUGUAGGUACCUGACCAACCCUUCUAUGACUCAAUGUCGGCUUUGAGAUACCCAAUCAUUUUGUGGUUGGAUAUGCCUUAGACUACAAUGAGUAUUUUAGAGACCUCAAUCACAUUUGCGUGAUCAGCGAAAGCGGGAAGAUGAAAUAUAAGAUUUAAAGAGGCGGGCGGCAAAAGAGGCGACUGUCGCACAGAUGUCAUCGAACGGCGAGCCCAGACAUUUCCCGUGAGAUGCCAUUGACUUACAGCUGCUAUCGUGACAUCUGAUCCCAAUCAUGCCUGUUUUGUUGUAACAUUCCUGCUUCCAAACAUGUUGUCAUUUUAUUACACACUGACAUUUAACUGGAAAUUUUAACAAAGAAAGUACGUGCUUUAGGAUAAGUCGCAGCUUUGUUCAGAUGGAAAACAUGUAGCCUUAGGGGGCCGCUGGUAUUCUAACUCGUAACACAUCCAGUCAUCCCUGAUGCACUGCUUCUUCUUUUAUGAAAUGUAAAGCACUUGAUAACUGUGGCAUGUGAGGAGUACAGAUGAAACCUAGAAUGAAAGGGAGCUUCUUUUUGUUAGGAAAUGAGUGAAUUUUUAUGUUUUCUCCACCUGUCCGUUGCCUUUUUUUUUUUUUUUUUGUUUCAUUUGGUUUUCUGUCACUUUUAAUGCUCAGGGGGAAACCAUUUAGGCUUGUCAACACUAAGUGCCAUUACUACUUCCUCUUUGUUUUUUCAGUUGUUGUAGAGUACUUUUGUCAUUUCUCAUCUCUGUUUAUGG